rnacentral:rRNA from 1 species
AUCGGAGGGUUCACUCCCAACCCCUGUGACAUACCAAUUGUUGCCUCGGCGGAUCAGCCCGCUCCCGGUAAAACGGGACGGCCCGCCAGAGGACCCCUAAACUCUGUUUCUAUAUGUAACUUCUGAGUAAAACCAUAAAUAAAUCAAAACUUUCAACAACGGAUCUCAUGGUUCUGGCAUCGAUGAAGAACGCAGCAAAAUGCGAUAAGUAAUGUGAAUUGCAGAAUUCAGUGAAUCAUCGAAUCUUUGAACGCACAUUGCGCCCGCCAGUAUUCUGGCGGGCAUGCCUGUUCGAGCGUCAUUUCAACACUCAAGCCCCCGGGUUUGGUGUUGGGGAUCGGCGAGCCCUUGCGGCAAGCCGGCCCCGAAAUCAAGUGGCGGUCUCGCUGCAGCUUCCAUUGCGUAGUAGUAAAACCCUCGCAACUGGUACGCGGCGCGGCCAAGCCGUUAAACCCCCAACUUCUGAAUGUUGACCUCGGAUCAGGUAGGAAUACCCGCUGAACUUAAGCCUAUCAAGACGGGGAGAGAAA